ACGGCUCAGUAACACGUGGACAACCUACCCUUAGGUCGGGGAUAAACCCGGGAAACUGGGUAUAAUACCCGAUAGUCCUCGGAUGCUGGAAUGCACCGAGGUCUAAAGCUCCGGCGCCUAAGGAUGGGUCUGCGGCCUAUCAGGUAGUAGUGGGUGUAGCGUACCUACUAGCCUACGACGGGUACGGGUUGUGAGAGCAAGAGCCCGGAGAUGGAUUCUGAGACACGAAUCCAGGCCCUACGGGGUGCAGCAGGCGCGAAAACUUUACAAUGCUGGAAACAGCGAUAAGGGGACCUCGAGUGCCAGGUUACAAAUCUGGCUGUCGUGAUGCCUAAAAAGCAUUGCAUAGCAAGGGCCGGGCAAGACCGGUGCCAGCCGUCGCGGUAACACCGGCGGCUCGAGUGGUAACCGCUAUUAUUGGGUCUAAAGGGUCUGUAGCCGGCCGGAUAAGUCUUUUGGGAAAUCUGGCAGCUUAACUGUCAGGCUUUCAGAGGAUACUGUCUGGCUCGAGGCCGGGAGAGGUGAGAGGUACUUCAGGGGUAGGGGUGAAAUCUUGUAAUCCUUGAAGGACCACCAGUGGCGAAGGCGUCUCACCAGAACGGACCUGACGGCAAGGGACGAAAGCUAGGGGCACGAACCGGAUUAGAUACCCGGGUAGUCCUAGCCGUAAACGAUACUCGCUAGGUGUCGGCCACGGUGCGACCGUUGUCGGUGCCGUAGGGAAGCCGUGAAGCGAGCCACCUGGGAAGUACGGCCGCAAGGCUGAAACUUAAAGGAAUUGGCGGGGGAG
rnacentral:rRNA from 1 species